rnacentral:rRNA from 1 species
CAUGCAAGUCGAACGAAGCAAUUAAGAUGAAGUUUUCGGAUGGAAUCUUGAUUGACUGAGUGGCGGACGGGUGAGUAACGCGUGGAUAACCUGCCUCACACUGGGGGAUAACAGUUAGAAAUGACUGCUAAUACCGCAUAAGCGCACAGUGCCGCAUGGCAGUGUGUGAAAAACUCCGGUGGUGUGAGAUGGAUCCGCGUCUGAUUAGCCAGUUGGCGGGGUAACGGCCCACCAAAGCGACGAUCAGUAGCCGACCUGAGAGGGUGACCGGCCACAUUGGGACUGAGACACGGCCCAAACUCCUACGGGAGGCAGCAGUGGGGAAUAUUGCACAAUGGGCGAAAGCCUGAUGCAGCGACGCCGCGUGAGUGAAGAAGUAUUUCGGUAUGUAAAGCUCUAUCAGCAGGGAAGAAAAUGACGGUACCUGACUAAGAAGCCCCGGCUAACUACGUGCCAGCAGCCGCGGUAAUACGUAGGGGGCAAGCGUUAUCCGGAUUUACUGGGUGUAAAGGGAGCGUAGACGGCGAAGCAAGUCUGAAGUGAAAAACCCAGGGCUCAACCCCUGGGACUGCUUUGGAAAACUGUUUUGCUAGAGUGUCGGAGAGGUAAGUGGAAUUUCCUAGUGUAGCGGUGAAAAUGCGUAGAUAUUAGGAGGAACACCAGUGGCGAAGGCGGCUUACUGGACGAUAACUGACGUUGAGGCUCGAAAGCGUGGGGAGCAAACAGGAUUAGAUACCCCUGGUAGUCCACGCCGUAAACGAUGAAUGCUAGGUGUUGGGGGGCAAAGCCCUUCCGUGCCGCCGCAAACGCAAUAAACAUUCCACCUGGGGAGUACGUUCCCAAGAAUGAAACUCAAAGGAAUUGACGGGGACCCGCACAAGCGGUGGAGCAUGUGGUUUAAUUCGAAGCAACGCGAAGAACCUUACCAAGUCUUGACAUCCCCCUGACGGGCCGGUAACGCGGCCUUUCCUUCGGGACAGGGGAGACAGGUGGUGCAUGGUUGUCGUCAGCUCGUGUCGUGAGAUGUUGGGUUAAGUCCCGCAACGAGCGCAACCCUUAUCCUUAGUAGCCAGCAGGUAGAGCUGGGCACUCUAGGGAGACUGCCAGGGAUAACCUGGAGGAAGGUGGGGAUGACGUCAAAUCAUCAUGCCCCUUAUGAUUUGGGCUACACACGUGCUACAAUGGCGUAAACAAAGGGAAGCGAGACAGUGAUGUGGAGCAAAUCCCAAAAAUAACGUCCCAGUUCGGACUGUAGUCUGCAACCCGACUACACGAAGCUGGAAUCGCUAGUAAUCGCGAAUCAGAAUGUCGCGGUGAAUACGUUCCCGGGUCUUGUACACACCGCCCGUCACACCAUGGGAGUCAGCAACGCCCGAAGUCAGUGACCCAACCGAAAGGAGGGAGCUGCCGAA